rnacentral:rRNA from 1 species
UAUACAAUGUAGAGUUUGAUCCUGGCUCAGGAUGAACGCUAGCUACAGGCUUAACACAUGCAAGUCGUGGGGCAGCGGAUACUUAGCUUGCUAAGUAUGCCGGCGACCGGCGCACGGGUGAGUAACGCGUACCGAACCUGCCCAUCACACAGGGAUAGGCUUGCGAAAGCAAGAUUAAUAUCUGAUGGUCUCAGUUGUAUGCAUGUAUGAUUGAGUAAAGCCUUCGGGCGGUGAUGGAUGGCGGUGCGUCCCAUUAGGAAGUUGGCGGGGUAACGGCCCACCAAUCCUUCGAUGGGUAGGGGUUCUGAGA